GCCUGGGUGGCUCAGUCGGUUAAGCAUCUGACUUUCACUCAGGUCAUGAUCUUGCGGUUCACGGGUUCGAGUCCCACAUCAGGCU
rnacentral:tRNA from 1 species